rnacentral:rRNA from 1 species
AGAGUGGCGAAAGGGCGAGGAAUAUAAUCGAAUGUACCCCAAGGUGAAGGAUAGCUUCUGGAAACGGAAGGUAAUACUUCAUGUGCUCUACGGAGGAAAGGUUUACCGCCUUGGGAGCGGCGAUUAUCCUAUCAGGUAGUUGGUGAGGUAAAGGCUCACCAAGCCGAAGACGGGUAGCGGGUGUGAGAGCAUGACCCGCC